CCUUGCACACACCGCCCGUUGCUUCAUCGAAGUUGGUUCUUGGCGAGGUGAUGCCUAAUUGGCACUAUCGAACCUGGGGUCAGCAACGAGGGAG
rnacentral:rRNA from 1 species